rnacentral:rRNA from 1 species
AGAGUUUGAUCCUGGCUCAGAUUGAACGCUGGCGGCAGGCCUAACACAUGCAAGUCGAGCGGAUGAAGGGAGCUUGCUCCUGGAUUCAGCGGCGGACGGGUGAGUAAUGCCUAGGAAUCUGCCUGGUAGUGGGGGAUAACGUCCGGAAACGGGCGCUAAUACCGCAUACGUCCUGAGGGAGAAAGUGGGGGAUCUUCGGACCUCACGCUAUCAGAUGAGCCUAGGUCGGAUUAGCUAGUUGGUGGGGUAAAGGCCUACCAAGGCGACGAUCCGUAACUGGUCUGAGAGGAUGAUCAGUCACACUGGAACUGAGACACGGUCCAGACUCCUACGGGAGGCAGCAGUGGGGAAUAUUGGACAAUGGGCGAAAGCCUGAUCCAGCCAUGCCGCGUGUGUGAAGAAGGUCUUCGGAUUGUAAAGCACUUUAAGUUGGGAGGAAGGGCAGUAAGUUAAUACCUUGCUGUUUUGACGUUACCAACAGAAUAAGCACCGGCUAACUUCGUGCCAGCAGCCGCGGUAAUACGAAGGGUGCAAGCGUUAAUCGGAAUUACUGGGCGUAAAGCGCGCGUAGGUGGUUCAGCAAGUUGGAUGUGAAAUCCCCGGGCUCAACCUGGGAACUGCAUCCAAAACUACUGAGCUAGAGUACGGUAGAGGGUGGUGGAAUUUCCUGUGUAGCGGUGAAAUGCGUAGAUAUAGGAAGGAACACCAGUGGCGAAGGCGACCACCUGGACUGAUACUGACACUGAGGUGCGAAAGCGUGGGGAGCAAACAGGAUUAGAUACCCCGGUAGUCCAA